rnacentral:lncRNA from 1 species
UCUGUGAUCUUUGCAGAUUCUGUGAGCAAAUAAAUGGAAAAAUUCUCAUGAACUGUAUAUAUAUUUUAAGAACAUUCCAGAUAUUCCCUUCAGUAACUAUACUGUACCAAGGAAUAUUGCUCAUGAAUACAAAAAUUUGAAUGUAAACAGGAAGUGCUUUGUUCUAGAUGUUGGAGGCAAAAUGGAAUGGAGCUAAAUAAUUUUGUACCUUGAAAUUCUAAAAUGCUUUUAGAGAGAUAUCAGAUACAAGAGUGUACAUAUUUAGUUAUUAGAAGCAUUGUCUUCAACAUGUAUGAAUGAAAUGAUGUAAUCAGAGAUAUUUGAUGAUUUAAGUGACUAUGCUACAGAAUGAAAUGAGAUCACAGACAGAGACCCCAUCAAACACUAAACUAAAUGGCUGGAAUGAGGUUCCUGACCCUGGUGAUGGUUUUAGCAAAGCUAUAAGAGACAUUCUAGUGCCACCUAUAUUGAGCCAACAUAACUCCAAAAAUGAUAUUGUUAAUUGUAUUCAUAACUUUCUAUUAAAUCAUUUUUAUAUUUAA